GGCGAACGCUGGCGGCGUGCCUAAUACAUGCAAGUUGAGCGAUGAAGAUUGGUGCUUGCACCAAUUUGAAGAGCAGCGAACGGGUGAGUAACGCGUGGGGAAUCUGCCUUUGAGCGGGGGACAACAUUUGGAAACGAAUGCUAAUACCGCAUAAUAACUUUGAACAUAAGUUUUAAGUUUGAAAGAUGCAAUUGCAUCACUCAAAGAUGAUCCCGCGUUGUAUUAGCUAGUUGGUGAGGUAAAGGCUCACCAAGGCGAUGAUACAUAGCCGACCUGAGAGGGUGAUCGGCCACAUUGGGACUGAGACACGGCCCAAACUCCUACGGGAGGCAGCAGUAGGGAAUCUUCGGCAAUGGACGAAAGUCUGACCGAGCAACGCCGCGUGAGUGAAGAAGGUUUUCGGAUCGUAAAACUCUGUUGGUAGAGAAGAACGUUGGUGAGAGUGGAAAGCUCAUCAAGUGACGGUAACUACCCAGAAAGGGACGGCUAACUACGUG
rnacentral:rRNA from 1 species